rnacentral:tRNA from 1 species
GGCUCUGUAGUUUAUUAAAGACGUUAGGCUGCAAUCCUAAAGAUGUAAUACUUACCUGGGCUU